rnacentral:rRNA from 1 species
GCAAGUCGAACGAAGCCAGGGUGCUUGCACCCGAAGCUUAGUGGCGAACGGUCGCGUAACACGUAAGCAACCUGCCCCAAAGUGGGGGAUAGCCCUCCGAAAGGAGGAUUAAUACCGCAUAUGGAUACUUUGAUGCAUGUUUUAGUAUCUAAAGCAGCAAUGCGCUUUGGGAUGGGCUUGCGGCCUAUCAGCUAGUUGGUGAGGUAACGGCUCACCAAGGCGACGACGGGUAGCUGGUCUGAGAGGAUGGUCAGCCGGACUGGGACUGAGAUACGGCCCAGACUCCUACGGGGGGCAGCAAUUAGGAAUCUUGCGCAAUGGGGGAAACCCUGACGCAGCGACGCCGCGUGAAGGAUGACAGCCUUCGGGUUGUAAACUUCUCUUAAGAAGGAAGAAUAAAAUGACGGUACUUCUUGAAUAAGCCCCGGCUAACUACGUGCCAGCAGCCGCGGUAAUACGUAGGGGGCGAGCGUUGUCCGAAUUUACUGGGCGUAAAGCGCGCGUAGGCGGACCUUUAAGUGGAGGGUGAAAUCUUGGGGCUCAACCCCAAAACUGCCUUUCAAACUGUGGGUCUUGAGGUAUGGAGAGGGAAGUGGAAUUCCUGGUGUAGCGGUGAAAUGCGUAGAUAUCAGGAGGAACACCCGUGGCGAAGGCGGCUUCCUGGCCAUAUACUGACGCUGAGGUGCGAAAGCUAGGGGAGCGAACGGGAUUAGAUACCCCGGUAGUCCUAGCCGUAAACGAUGGAUACUAGGUGUUAGUGGUAUCGACCCCACUAGUGCCGCAGCUAACGCAAUAAGUAUCCCGCCUGGGGAGUACGGCCGCAAGGUUGAAACUCAAAGGAAUUGACGGGGGGCCCGCACAAGCGGUGGAGCAUGUGGUUUAAUUCGUCAUUAAC